rnacentral:rRNA from 1 species
CACGUAUUUAGCCGUCGCUUCUUCUGCAGGUACCGUCACUUGCUUCUUCCCUGCUGAAAGCACUUUACAGCCCGAAAGCCUUCUUCGUGCACACAGAAUUGCUGGAUCAGGGUUGCCCCCAUUGUCCAAUAUUCCCCACUGCUGCCUCCCGUAGGAGUAAGGGCCGUAUCUCAGUCCCCUUGUGGCCGUUCACCCUCUCAGGCCGGCUACCUAUCGUCGCCUUGGUGAGCCGUUACCUCACCAACAAGCUAAUAGGACGCAAAGCUCUCCUGCAGCAUCGCUUUUCAUUGCCUGGCACAUGCGUGCCGGCAACCGUAUCAGGUGUUGUCAGUCGUUUCCGUCUGUUAUCCCUGUCUGCAGGGCUAAGUUCUUACGCGCUACUCACCCGUCCGCCUUGGCUAGCCUGCGCAGCGCAGAUCGCAAAGCUUGCAUGUGUUAAGCUAUUCUGUCAGUCGUUCAUCCUGACGCCAGGACUUACC